rnacentral:rRNA from 1 species
CACGUAGGGGGCGAGCGUUGUUCGGAAUUACUGGGCGUAAAGGGCAUGUAGGCGGCCUUGUAAGCCUGGCGUGAAAGUCCACAGCUCAACUGUGGGAUUGCGUCGGGAACUGCGAGGCUUGAGUCACGGAGGGGAAGGUAGAAUUCCUGGUGUAGGGGUGAAAUCUGUAGAGAUCAGGAAGAAUACCAGUGGCGAAGGCGACCUUCUGGCCGAUGACUGACGCUGAGGUGCGAAAGGGUGGGGAUCAAACAGG